GUUCUGUGUGUCCAGCAGAGUGCUAUUAGAGGACGUGAGGCAGAGACCCUGCUUGCUGCUCUGGUGCCAGUGCUGGCCGUGAGACUUGGCUGGUGAACUGGUAGGGGGCUCAUUAGAAGUCCACUUGCUUGAGGUACUGAGGGCUCCUAGAAGCAAACCCAGCCUAAGGGAAGAGGCAACCGGAUCUACAGACUUAACCCAGUAAUAAAGCCUUUCUUAGAAAUUGGAUAAGGGGAUGCUGAAUCUGUCACUCUGCUUUUUUCCUGGCUGCUUUCCAAUAAACUCGUGUCCCAGGAAAAAGGGUUCCCUAAAUAAGGACUGUUUCCCUAAAAACUCUCAUAAGACAUUGGGGGUACAAGGAACAGGACCCAGGGGCCGUGAGAUGAUGAUCAGUGGACAUGACAACCUUCAGGGAGGGCAGCAAGUGCGCUAGGCAGAUGUGAUGGUGAUGACUGCGGUGACAGCAGAGGCAGCAGAGCCUGUGGAAGCGCUGUGGAGGCAGCGUGGAAACCUGUGGAUGAGGCUGUCUUGGAUGAGCAUCAUGGUGCUCAGCUGAGGCUGAUUACCACACAGGUUGCGCUGUGCUAGACUCUUCUGGAAAGUGCUUGUGAGACCUGCAGGGAUGUUUCCCCUGUCUGUGAGCAUCCCGAAACCACCACUGGAAGCAAGGCAAA
rnacentral:lncRNA from 1 species